rnacentral:rRNA from 1 species
UACGUAGGGCGCAAGCGUUAUCCGGAAUUAUUGGGCGUAAAGAGCUCGUAGGCGGUUUGUCGCGUCUGCUGUGAAAGACCGGGGCUCAACUCCGGUUCUGCAGUGGGUACGGGCAGACUAGAGUGAUGUAGGGGAGACUGGAAUUCCUGGUGUAGCGGUGGAAUGCGCAGAUAUCAGGAGGAACACCAAUGGCGAAGGCGGAUCUCUGGACAGUUACUGACACUGAGGCACGAAGGCCAGGGGAGCAAACAGG